UUUCCCCCCCCCCCUUCAGUUUAAGGAAGAAUCCUGCUGAGCGAAUGAACUACUUAGAACUUAUGGAGCACCCCUUCUUCACCCUACAUGACACCAAAGAGACUGACAUGGCCUCCUUUGUGACAGAGAUCCUCGGGGAUGACUCUUAACUGGAGCCCCACUGUUCCAUGCAGUCCCUGCAGCGGAGCAGAUGCGGACUUGAAUUUGUGAUGGUUUGCACAAAUUGUGUUUCUCAGCCUCCGGACAGUUCUGAGCACAGCCCCAUUACAGCCUCUUUUCUCUUUGCCUGAAAUCUUCAAGGAAGAGCCUUGGAAGCCAACACCUUCACCCCUUCAAAUGCUGGGGGCACGGGGUGGGGAUGGUGCCCAACCUUGGCACGGGCUGUGGGGAACUUCUGCCUUUCUUCCCUUUUGCUGCCUGGGGCCGGCAAAGAGAAAAUGCUGCUGUGCUUCUCCCCCCCUUCCUAACCGUCCCCAGCCCCUCCCCCAGCAUUUCACCCAGUUCUCUGCCUCAUGUUCCUGAGCAGCACUGCAGGAGGCUGCAGGGCUCCGUGGAUACACCGCUGUCCCCGCACAAAGCCAUCUUGAUGACACCUGGAUGACCCUUCAACACGGCCCCAGGCCUGACACCCCCUUCACUGCCUGAUCUACUGCUCCCCUGCAGAGGAAUAAAAGCGUAUCUCCCCCCCAGUUCACCCCACCGUGAGCAGCAGCCCCCGCUCUCUUGCUUCCUCCAUGGACCUUCUCCUCUGUGCUCGCCCUGGGGCUGCAUGACACUGGAGGAGGUGGGGAUGGUGAGCAUCUACCACCACUCCUCAUCCUGCAGGAGGAUGCUGCUCCACCUCUCCGUCCUCUUCCCCCUUUGGGGCUCAUGUAAGACCUCACACUGUGACCCCAUCACUGCCUCCAGCUGUGGCCACAGCCACCAUCUCAGCCCCAACCCCCCACAGCCCAGUGCAGGGGCUGCUGCCAGUUGUACAUUUUGUGUCUAUAUAUAAUGGACUUUGUAACAUGUUUCCGGGUUUUACUGCACUUGCUAUAAAUUAAAGCCCUUCUGUGUGGGUGGGAGGAGGGAGGAGCGCUUCCUUCUCCCCUGAAGAAUCUGCUGUGAGCCCCGCUGUGUUCCAUCCAUGUGUGGGACCGCAGACUGAACGCACCGCUGUGGGGUUUUUUUAUUUUUAAUAGAUUGAGGUUUUCAGAGGGAUUUUUUCCUUUUCUAAUAUAUUUGUGUGUGUGUGUGCGUGCUAUAUAUAUUAUAUAUUUUUAGAUCAGUGAUGAUGGUGUGAAUGUCUAUGUGAGCAGCAGUUCUGCUGCAGUGACCAGCAGUUUUCUGGCUAGAUUUGGGGUAGUGGCUGAGGCUUUAGAAGGCGAACUGCCCUGAGAUUAUUUCUUUUUUUUUUAAAGAAGAAAUGCAUCUAUUUUUUAAUCAAAUUAAAACUUUAAAAAAAAAAAAAAAACACUUUUCCUGAACUUCCUGCCCUGGAGGUGUGGAUGUGGGUGCAUUCCUGUUAUUCAGGGUCCUCUCCCUGCUGAAGCACAGUGUUCAGCUGACCCCUUUGCCCCACACCUUUGUUAUGGAGCCAGGCUGGGCUGUGCCUGGAGCCAUGGUUCAGCUCCCAGGAGAAAAGCUUAGGGUAGCACAGGGUGACUUUCCCCUCUGUCUCACCCUGUCCCCCUCAGUGCACGAGCCCAUAGGAAACAGCACAGGUGGGCACAGCACAGUGUGAGCAAACCCUGCCCUGCUUCAGUCUGACCCUUAACCCCUGUCCCACCUCCUUGUGCACGAUAAUGUAGCUGAUGUUCUCCACAUCCUCCCUUCAGUCCCACUCCCCGAAACAUCCCGUGCUCCCUGAAAUUGCACAUCACCAGCCUGGUAGGACAGCUUGGCAGCUGAGAUGCUUACUUGUAGGUUUUUCCAUAGUUGGUCACUUUGGAUUCUUUUUGAUUUGCUGUUAAGCUUUUGUUUUUCCUCUUUCUCUUUGCUUUUCUCCUCCUGGAGAAAGUCCUGCCCCUUUCUCAUACUGGGUGAUAGCAUGGUGGGGGGAGGGGGGGGUUGGGACCCAUGGAUGGGGCUUUGCUGCUCAGUUGGGUCCUGUCUGCCCUGUGUGCUGAUGUGGGUCCUGCUGCUUGUGCCCUUCUGCCAUGCACAGGGAUGAUAGAUCUGGUGCCCACCAGCUUGAUCUUGGGGUGAGAGAGAAUAUUAGGAAAAAUUUCUUCUCUGAGAGAAUGGCGGUGUGUUGGAAUUGCUGCCCAGGGAGCGGUGGGGUCACCAUCCCUGGAGGUGUUCCAGAGCCAUGGAGAUGUGGCACUGAGGAAUAUGGUUUGGUGUCAUGGUGGGGGUAGGUUGGGGUUGGUUUGUGAAUCUGAGAGGUCUUCUCCAACCUGAAUGACUCUGCGGUUCUGAUGCAGCCCAGAGCCCCUCCAGCCCUGUACUGAGCACAGUCUGUACCCAUGAACUCCUCCUUGUUUUCAAUAAAAUUCACCCCGAAGCAC